rnacentral:rRNA from 1 species
UACGUAGGGCGCGAGCGUUAAUCGGAAUUACUGGGCGUAAAGCGUGCGCAGGCGGUUCGCUGUGUCCGAUGUGAAAGCCCCGGGCUCAACCUGGGAAUGGCAUUGGAAACUGGCGGGCUUGAGUGCGGCAGAGGGGGGUGGAAUUCCGCGUGUAGCAGUGAAAUGCGUAGAGAUGCGGAGGAACACCGAUGGCGAAGGCAGCCCCCUGGGUCGACACUGACGCUCAGGCACGAAAGCGUGGGGAGCAAACAGG